GGCUGAGGGAGGGGAGAAUGAGGAGGACUGCUUAGGGGGUAAAGGAGCUCCUUUUGGGGUGAUGAAGGGGGUCUGGGACAUUUGGGGGAUGGCUGUCCAACACCAUGCAUGAACUAAACGCUUCAGAAUGGCCGAAUGCAUGCCGUGUGGAUUUCACUUCAAUAAAAACAAGGUUUUUUUAUUGAAGGAAAUUCUUACAAGUGUGGUGCAAACACCAGCCACGGCCUGCCCCACAUGACGCUCCCUCUGACCCUCCAACUGUGCAGCAGAAUGACCCGGUCUCCCUUUGUGACACAGGCAGCCCAGAGCCACCCACAGACACACGGGCGGAGGGCGAGGCAGGUGGGGUCCAUGAAGGGAAAUGCGAAGCUGAGGCCUGCCCGGGGUAGGAGGGUGAAACCUGUCAUGGAGUCCAGGGGAGGGCAGGGCCCAGCUCUCGGGGUGCUGCGGGGUGCCACAGGGUGCCAGCCAGCGCCUCCCCAUGGGCUCCCACCCACGGGAUGGGCAGAGCCUCUGCACCUCCGCCCCAGCCAUGGCCGCCCUGACUUCCGUGCCUCCCAGGCUCCCCGUCCUCAUCCCCACUUGGAGAAGGAGCCCAGGCUUCCGAGUCUGAAAGCAGCAGCUGCCUGGGGCGGCCUGGGAUGCAUUGAGAACCGGCCUGGGAUGUUCCGGGGCAAGUCAGGUUCUAAAAAUCUGGUUCUCGGCCCCAGCAGACUUCACGGCCACCAGCAGGGACCAGAGCCCCUCAAAGAGGGACCCCCAUUGCAAGUAUCUGGGCAGUCAUGAGCAUAACCGGGGGUGGGGGGGAGGCGCUGAGGCUCGGGGACCCGGAGCGGCCUGCCUGUUCCCAGGCCUGCACAUAGUAGGUGGAGAGGCCACGAGGUUUGGCUGUGGCCAAGGGAGCCCCUGGGAUCAUGGCAAUGGGGACGGGGGCCGAGACAGAAAGGUGCCACCUCCCCAGGGGGGGUCACUCAGAGGGCUGCACCUGCUCUCCACGCGGCCCUUCCAGCCAGAAGAGGACACCGCGGACAGUGAUCCCAGCCAGCCGGUAGACCAGACCAAACUCCACACAGGCGGCCAACGCCUGGCUCCCCUUGGCUCCUGAAGGGCAGCUGGGCUCAGAGGUGGCCGUGCAGAAGGGCGGGCCUGGCCGCUCACUGCCCUUGCGUCGCGCCGCCAACAAGAAGAUUACUCAGGCCCUGAUACGAUCGCCGCGGGACAGGCGGAAAUUGGAGUGUCCCGGUGCUUGAUCGCGGCAGCCCACGAGUGCGGCCGCAGGGACAUUAGAGCCGCGUAAUGGCCUCAUUCCGCUCCCUCACAGCCCCGUGACCUUGGGCAGCUCGGAAGCCGGGCGCUGUGUUAGUGAAAAAUCAGGAGGUGGGCCUCCUAUGGCCCCGAGCAGGAGCGCACCCCACCCUGAGGUCAGGGAGAGAAAACUGAAUGCCAGCCACAGCGGCCAGCAAGCCUGGGCACUCGCCAGGACCCCCGGGUCCGCUGAUGCCACUAUCCUCACAGCAAGCACUGACCAGCCCCGCUCUCAGACUGGGAUACAGAGAGGUAAAGUGACUUGGCCAAGGUUGCACAGCUACAGGGACAGAGCAGGCUGCAGACCCAGGCGUGAGUUCCAGGGUCGGCGUCCCACUUCCCGUUCCCCACCACUCCUACCCCUCAGCAAGUGACAAGAGCCUUUUGCCUGCGGGGACUGAGGCAGGAAGGGCUACGCUGGCACUAGCCCUGUCCGGGAGCCUUCCUGGGCCACUCCACUUGCCCCCCAUGUCCCUCCUGAGCCCUGCAGGCCCUCCCCCAGCAUGCCGCUCCCACCCCCACAGAAGACUCAGAUGGCUUGACCCCACCUGAGACGGUGGCCUUGGGGACACCAGCUUUGCAUCCUCUUCCUUCAGCUCCUAGCACACGGCACGACCAGUGGCAAGCAGCAGGCGUUCCAGAACGCCAACCUGCGAGGUCCCCUCUGCAGUCGCGCGGACCACGUGCCCACGUGCCCGGGCAGAGUGAAGACAACAGCAGCAGGGCUGCUGGAGGCCUGGUGGAGCCGGCUGCUCUGACUACACUGCCCUCAUCACCUCCCCGGGAGUCAGCCCAGCCUGGUGCACGGACUGUGGGCCGUGUUUACAAGUAAAGUGAUGGGCCAGGUCAGCUGAGAGCAGGAGGCAGGCCUAGAGUUCCCCACCCUGGCUCCUGCCACACCCCACGCAGCGGGUGCUUGGCCCAGGUCAGAGGACACAGAGCCCCCCGUGGACGAGCCCUGCUGCAGAUGCAGCCCUCGCCCAGCCAGCCAGCUGCAAGAGCACCGGCCACCCAUCCCACACAGGCAGGGUUCAAGGCCCUCUGGGCUUUUUAAUCAUCCCCGCGUGCCGUUUAGGCGUGAUUUAUAAAGUGGGUGUUGGAAGUCACCUCCUCCACUCAGCAAAUUACAGAGCGGUUUUGGCAGCAUCCACAGGGAAUGAAUCGCCCUUGAUGAACCCCGCUGCGGCGCCCGCGGCCACUCACGGAAGCACCC